UACAUGUGGGGCAAGCGUUGUUCGGAAUUACUGGGCGUAAAGGGUGCGCAGGCGGCCCCUUAAGGUGGCGGUGAAAGCUCCUGGCUCAACUGGGAGAGGGCCGUGACGACUGGGGGGCUUGAGGCUCGGAGAGGGACGUGGAAUUCCUGGUGUAGCGGUGGAAUGCGCAGAUAUCAGGAAGAACACCCGUGGCGAAGGCGGCUCUCUGGAACGCAACUGACGCUGAGACGCGAAAGCGUGGGGAGCAAACAGG
rnacentral:rRNA from 1 species